CCCCUCUGCAGCCGGUGCCUUGGGGUGCACGGCACAGGCCUCCUCUAGGCCGGCUUCCCCGGCAGUGCCCUGGGGAAGUGGCUUCACUCCAGAGAAGGAGUUCCUGUGGAAGUCUCGAGUAACGGGGUCUUCUCAGGUUUGUGUUCUUGAAAGCGCACUCCCGUGAGGGGCCGCGACUUUGUGAAGGGGCUAAAAGUGGAGAGGGCAGAGCCGCAAUGGCUACAGGACGGACGGACCUGUGGCAGGAGGGGCGGCCAGGAUGUUAGAUGCGGGGUGGGAGAUGGAAAUUUGGAUUGCCCUGAGUUCCGGGGGCCACAGGCCAGCAGAGACGGAGGCCUAGGAUGGAGUCUCUGAUCCCAGGACUGUUUUGUGUUCAAAGCCAGCCGGAGCUGAGUCAUUUUAUAGUGACUCAGCACCCCGAGAAUUAGAGUUCUUAAAAAUUCAAUCCCACACAGCUGGGUACCAGCUUACUGACUUUGAACACUUGUGAAAGACUGAAAAUUUCCUGGCUUGCAUCUCCUGCCUCCCCAGACUGCCAAAAGCACUAAACAUUCCCUGCAGUGUCUUCCCAGUCUCUUGAAAGCCAAAACUGAACAGUAUGACCCAGGCCAAUCAAGGAACAUCCAGGUUGCUUUUGAUCAAUGUGCGGAAGAGAAAGAGGACUCUGGAAGCCUUAACACUAUGGACAGGUUAAAGGCUUGUAGUUUCAAGCUACAGUGCUUAAAGCCUAAUUCUGGCCUUCCCGACUCUUGUCUGGGUUGCUUCAACUCUUCUAAAGCUUCGAACAGCUUCCAAAGGCUAUGCCAUUAGUGAUCACACAUCUUGGUGAUCACUUGGAUUUACGGUUGUAUGUAAUUUUAAAUAUAAAAUUAUUGUUAGUUAUUCAAUUAUGCGGGGCAUGUGCCACAGCACACAUGUGGCGGUGAGAGAACAGCGUUCAGUGCUCACCAUCCAGCAUGAGGUUGCCAGAGAAAACUCGUGAUUGUCAAGCGUGGCAGCAAACACCCUGACCUACUGAACCAUCUUUUUGGCCUUUGUGAUCACUUUCAGGCCUCCUGAAACAAAAAACAAGAUAGGUGUCCAGCACUUGGGAAGCCACAGUGCAGGAUUUGAAGUUUGGGGCUAAUGGGCUGCAACGCAAGACCAUGCCAAUAGAUACAUGAUGCUGGCUGAUGGUUUGCCUUAUACAAAGUGAGUAUCAAGCACAUUUGAUCACUCUCCCAGUUUCCAUCUCUACCCAAAUAGCCCAAAAACAUAGUAGCACUGCUCUUCAAACAGCCCUAAAAUGCACCUGUGGCUUGGCUACUUGACUAUAUGUGGAGUUAAUUAAAACCCAAUCAACUGGGGACACCUGUGAGGAAUUUUAUUUAAGUCAUCUGAAGAGGAAAGACCAAUGUUUAAUAUGGGUCUCUGAAGGAGAGAAGACCCCCCUUUAAUCUGAGCCACACCUUCUGCUGGUAGCCUAAAGGACAUGAAAGAGAAGGCUUGCUCUUUCUGUGCUUGUUCUCGCUGGCAAGUCCAUUCCUUCACUGGCAGUAGACCUACUUCUUUGGGAUUCCAGUGCAUACUGAAGACCAACCGAGACAUCCUGCCUCAUGGGCUGAACGAACAACUACGGGGUUCUUGGAAGUUCUGUUGGUGGACAGCCAUUGUUGGAUGAGCUGGACUGUAGCCUCUCUACCGUUCUAGUAAUCCGAUAUAUAUUCAUUCUAUCAGUUUUGUCCUUCUCGAGCAGUGGUUUUGAACCUUCCUGAUGCUGCAACCCUUCAGGGCAGUCCCUCAUGUUGUAACCACCGACCAUAAAAUGAUUUCAUUGCUACUUCCUAACUCUAAUUUUGCUACUGUUAUGAAUCGUAAUGUGAAUGUGUCUUCCAAUGGUUUUAGGCAACCCCUGUGAUAGGGUUGUUUGAACCCCCCAAAGAGGUUGAGACCCACAGGUUGAGAAUCACUGUUCUGAAGAACCCUGAAUAACACACUAGGCUUGUUAGUGAUUAUCUUACCAUAAUGACAAGUGACUGGGCUGGGAAGUGUAAGCACAUAGGAAUACUUGAUUUCAAGAAAAGAAAAUUAGUGAACUGAGCUUCCAUCAUGUUUCCCAGGAAUGUACAUAAGAUAGAAUGCAUACCAGGAUUGAGACUGCUCAUUUCUGUCUGGGGUGGAUCUGUCCUACAAGAGACUUGUUCUUUGGAUAAGGUUCUGGUAUUAUAUUUGGUUUCAUUUAGGAGGUUCUCCUUUCUAAGCUUUAAGAAAGUAGACGCUAAAUGGUAUGCAGAGACAACCCUCCAAAUUUAAACUGUAAUCAAAUUCUACAGAACCUGCACAGAUCUCGCUUCCACACUCAAACGAAAGCAUGCUAACACACUUCAAAGCCAUUUUUGCUUUCAAUAUAGUUUAUUCUGAUGAAGUUACAAAAGUAGAUACAAAAUACUUUUUUAAAAAGUACAGUUAACGACUUAGAAAAAUAGAUAAAGCCCUAAAGGUUUAAAAAUACAACAUAAAUUUUUAUGUGAGGAAUAUUUUAAGUUAUUUUAGAUGGUAACCAAGACUACCUUAUGCAAACUAUUUUUGAUGCAGACCAACACAGAAUGCCGUUCUAUAAUCAGACCACAGCACAAUGGCUAUCCAGAACAGCUUCACAGAAUGCUUGUUUGAGAAAACCCAUGUGAAUUUCAAUGUGGUUGCUUCAGUAAAAUCACUACUGCCACGUGUGCUCCAGAGCCCUUCAGAGCCAAGCAUCAAAAUUGAAUGUGUAAAAUCAGGAAGACCAAAAGACUACUGUUACCUUUUUUGCCAGAACUCUUACUGACCGCAGGUGAAAAGAACAUGACUACCGAAAGUGCUCAGCAGCUCAUGUCCAGGCUGGCACUGUUCAGGCCAGGGCUCCACACUGAUAGGGGAUGCUCCCAUAGAGAGCAGAGGAGCCCGGGCACCAUGACUGGAAACACACUUGUAGGGCCUACGCUCUUCAGGCCUGAUUUGUUUAUGAUUCUGAGGUAAUGACGUCAUGUCUGAGAAGCUCCACUUGUAGUAUUAUCUUGGGGCUCAGAGAGAAGCCAAGAGUACAAACAGGAAACCUCAGUACCAGGACUGUGCUGAGCCUUUGCUCCGAGUCAUGGGGAACACAGAUAUGCAGCUCUCCAGUGAGCAGCCAUGGGAACUAGAGCUCUGCAAGCCUAGGAUCCAAGAAACCCUGGCUAACUGGCUCCUGGUAAGUCACUUUAUUCAGGCAGCAGAGUACAGUAUAGUACCUGUCGGCACAAAAACCGUACAAGAAUGAUUUUUUUUUAAAUCUGUCUAUCAUUGUCCAAGUUUUCUUUUUUUAAUUUAAUGUGCACUGGUGUUUGUCCUGCAUGCAUGUCUGUGUGAGGGUGUCCGAUCCACUGGAACUUGAGUUAUAAACAUCUGUGAACUGUCAUGUGGAUGGUGAAAAUUGAACCAGAUGCUUUGGAAGAGUAGCCAAAGCUCUUAAUCACUGAGCCAUCUCUCCAGACCCCACUGUCCAAGUUUUUAAAAGUCCUAGAAGUUAAAGCACCAGAGGGCUAAGGCAGAAUUCAACGGACCCUCAGAAGCCACAGCAAUGAGCAAAAACAGACAGGACAGCUGCCCUCUGCUGAGGGGAGCAGGAGAGCUGUGAAGAAGGCAGCUAAAGCCAGGACAGACUGAUUUCUUCAGAUGCUAUAAAAGGGCUCUCUAGCCACGGCAGAAAGACACCGUCUUCCUCCCAUGUUCCUGCCUCAGAGACGAGCAAACAGUGCAAUGUGGGCACACUGCUGGUUAAGGCAGGUUGGUUUGGGAGUCUGACACGCUUUUCAUUUAAAACGGCAGAAGGAAAAAAGGGGAGUGGGAACACAACAAAGAAGAGAGGCACUCUUGAGUUUCAAACCAGCAACAAGGUUUGCUUUAUGUCCGACUAAUGAGCUGCCUCUGUAUCUGGAGCUCAGUCAUGGAGUGGGCAUUUCUAUCCUGAAAUACAUGCAGAGAAAAGAGAAACCUUGGAUUUGAGGGUGCCAGAUAUAAAAAUGAUUAAGCCCUGGUUGAGAAACAAAACUUCAUGCCUUUGGGACCUAAGCAAAUCAAAGUGAACGGGGCCUGUGUUUGAGAUGAUGCAUUCUCGGUGGCGAGAAGCCUGCUUCCUGUCUGCAGAUGGCUGUCAUAUACUUACAGAACAGCUGACAUCUGGACCUUUGCAUACACCUGGGUUGUGGGGUGUUUCCAAGCUGUCCUUUUUUCCCUAAACCAUUAUCCCAACUUGAAUUGCUCUAAUGGUGGUGUAUGGUUGCAGCCAAAAUAAACAAAACAAUUCCUUUAAACUUCUAAGCAUACUUCAGAACAUACUGAAAACGUGAGCUUCUAAGCAAUUAUUUGAGUCUAGUGAAUUCAAAUAACAAAAACCCAUCAACUCUAACUUUCACAAAGCUGUAGGACAGUGAGUGCUGUGCAGCCCAGCUCUGACACAGAGAAUGCUGAUAAAUUCCAGCACUGCCCGUGGGGCACGGGCUCAGGACACUUCGGACAUCAUAUAUAUAUCUGAAGAAGCAGCCAGGACUACAUCUGAGACCAAAUGAAAAGCAGGCACCUCUUAAUAAAGGAGUCUUUUAUCCUGACAGGAUGAGGAAAUUUUCAAGUUUUGAUACAAAGACAAGUAGGACAGAAGCCUGAGAGCGCAGUGCAGCCUUUGUGUAGUAAAAGUGAAGCCAGGCUGUUGUCAACUCAAUCUCCUUACUGCGUGGUCUCCAGCUCUCCCUCUAACAGGCAGCACGGAGACCUUCUGCAGUCACACACACCCUCAAACUGUUCUAUGGUUUUGACUUUUGUCCUUAUUGCCAUAAAGUCUGUGCAUUUCUACACACAAAUGUAAGUUUCAAGUUGCGAUAUAAACAUGGGCUCAUUUAGGAAAUCAAGUACUCUGAAUACUUUUUUCUAUUGUCCCCUCCAGAACUUAAUGAAAACAGUAGCUUCGAGGCUGAAGUCUGUCACAGUUUUCUGGAAGUUUUCUUGAUCUCUGCCAUAAGCUACCUAUGAAGUUAAUCUGAGUGAAGAGUUUCAAAUGAGAGCCUGCAAGGCUGACGUCAGAAGACACACAGAGUGUGUCUGUUGUGAGCUCUCCUCAUCUAGACAGACAUGAAGACAAUCCCAAACAAGUUCAAAAAGUAAAGUCACUUCAAAUAACUUUGGUUAAUCUCAGUUCACAUGUGCCUAUGCCUUGUGGAUUUCAGCACAGUUUCACAUGUAACCCAGGCCAGCCUCUUCUUCCACAGUGUCAGUAACAGGCACGCACCAU